GCGGGAGUAGCUCAGUUGGUAGAGCAUCAGCAUUCCAAGCUGAGGGUCGCGGGUUCGAGUCUCGUCUCCCGCUCAA
rnacentral:tRNA from 1 species